rnacentral:rRNA from 1 species
GACGAACGCUGGCGGCGUGCCUAAUACAUGCAAGUAGAACGCACAGUUUAUACUGUCGCUUGCUACACCAUAGACUGUGAGUUGCGAACGGGUGAGUAACGCGUAGGUAACCUGCCUGGUAGCGGGGGAUAACUAUUGGAAACGAUAGCUAAUACCGCAUAAUAUUAAUUAUUGCAUGAUAAUUAAUUGAAAGGUGCAAUUGCACCACUACCAGAUGGACCUGCGUUGUAUUAGCUAGUAGGUGAGGUAACGGCUCACCUAGGCGACGAUACAUAGCCGACCUGAGAGGGUGAUCGGCCACACUGGGACUGAGACACGGCCCAGACUCCUACGGGAGGCAGCAGUAGGGAAUCUUCGGCAAUGGACGAAAGUCUGACCGAGCAACGCCGCGUGAGUGAAGAAGGGUUUCGGAUCGUAAAGCUCUGUUGUAAGAGAAGAACGGGUGUGAGAGUGGAAAGUUCACACUGUGACGGUAUCUUACCAGAAAGGGACGGCUAACUACGUG